GAUGAACGCUGGCGGCGUGCCUAAUACAUGCAAGUCGAGCGAACAGACGAGGAGCUUGCUCCUCUGACGUUAGCGGCGGACGGGUGAGUAACACGUGGAUAACCCACUUAUAAGUCUGGGAAAACUUCGGGAAACCGGCGCUAAUACCGGAUAAUAUAUUGAACCGUAUGGUUCAAUAGUGAAAGACGGUUUUGGUGUCACGUAUAGAUGGAUCUGAGCCGCAUUAGCUAGUUGGUAAGGUAACGGCUUACCAAGGCAACGAUGCGUAUCCGACCGGUGAGGGUGAUCGGCCACACUGGAACGGAGACGCGGUCCAGGCGCCUACGGUAGGCAGCAGUAGGGAAUCUGCCGCAAUAGGCGGAAGCCUGACGGAACGACGCCGCGUGAGUGAUGAAAGUCUUCGGAUCGUAAAACUCUGUUAUUAGGUAAGAACAAAUGUGGAAGUAACUAUGCACGUCUUGACGGUACCGAGUAAGAAAGCCACGGCUAACUACGUG
rnacentral:rRNA from 1 species